UACGGAGGGUGCAAGCGUUGUCCGGAUUUAUUGGGUUUAAAGGGUGCGUAGGCGGUCUGGUAAGUCGGCGAUGAAAGCCCGGGGCUCAACCCCGGAACUGUCGUCGAUACUGUCGGACUUGAGUACGGUUGAGGCUGGCGGAAUGGGCGGUGUAGCGGUGAAAUGCAUAGAUACCGUCCAGAACCCCGAUUGCGAAGGCAGCUGGCUAAGCCGUAACUGACGCUGAGGCACGAAAGCGUGGGGAGCGAACAGG
rnacentral:rRNA from 1 species